rnacentral:rRNA from 1 species
UGGCGAGACUGUAACUGACGCUAAAGCUCGAAAGUGCGGGUAUCGAACAGGAUUAGAUACCCUGGUAGUCCGCACGGUAAACGAUGGAUGCCCGCUGUUUGCGAUAUACAGUAAGCGGCCAAGCGAAAGCGUUAAGCAUCCCACCUGGGGAGUACGCCGGCAACGGUGAAACUCAAAGGAAUUGACGGGGGCCCGCACAAGCGGAGGAACAUGUGGUUUAAUUCGAUGAUACGCGAGGAACCUUACCCGGGCUUGAACUGCCAGCGAACGAUACAGAGAUGUUGAGGCCCUUCGGGGCGCUGGUGGAGGUGCUGCACGGUUGUCGUCAGCUCGUGCCGUGAGGUGUCGGCUUAAGUGCCAUAACGAGCGCAACCCCUUUCGCCAGUUGCCAUCAGGUGAUGCUGGGCACUCUGGCGACACUGCCGCCGCAAGGUGUGAGGAAGGUGGGGAUGACGUCAAAUCAGCACGGCCCUUACGUCCGGGGCUACACACGUGUUACAAUGGGGCAUACAGAAGGCCGGUCUGCGGCAACGCGGAUCCAAUCUUUAAAGUGCCUCGUAGUUCGGAUUGGGGUCUGCAACCCGACCCCAUGAAGCUGGA